rnacentral:tRNA from 1 species
GUCGACGGUGGUCAGCGACACCAUGUCGCCCGCGGCCUGCAGCGCGGCGAACGGCAGGCGUCCGGCGCGGUUGACCGCCGCGCCGUCGACG